GCCACGUGCCGCGCCCCGGGUUUUGGGUGGGAGAUGGGCAAAGCUGGCUGUUGGGAGGUCGCCUCACCCCGGGCGAUUCUGCACCUGCCAGAUCGGCAAACGGGACAACGGGACAAUGAGGCCCCACUGCUGGAUUUUAUCAGGUGCCUCCUGCAACAAGAGACCAGGCCCACCUCUCUCGGGGAUUCUGGGGAAAGCCCAGCUCCUCUGCAGAAGUCAGAAGCCACACCGGAGGAACCGCUGCACCUUGGAAGGAGAGAAGAGCCAUGAAAGAGCAGAGCGACUCAGAGAGCAAGGAGAUGGCGUCAGGCCAGCCACUGGCCUCAGGCAGCAACAGGGCCAAGCUCUACGGGGCUAUGGGUCGGAGGGAGGCAGGAGCUCACCUCCAGCACCCACAGAGCCUUGGCAGCAGGAGAGAAGUUAGCUUGAGAAACGCACGGAAUGGAUGAAGAGAAGAAAGCUCGGUCCACUUAAGUGCAUCGAACAUAAAUCGGAG
rnacentral:lncRNA from 1 species